UGGGGGUGGGAGGGAGGGGGUGCGGGUGGUGGCGGUGGCUGGGAAAGCCGUUCUGGAGCUAGCGCUGGGCUCUCCUGCCAGCUGGAGUAAGAGGGUUGCAUGUGAGCUAAGCCCCGCGCUGCCGCUGGGUCUCUGGUGCCUUUCGCCCAGACUCUAGGUGUAGCCGACCUGUUGCCUGCGGGAAAGCGUCCCACAAGAUCUGAGAGCCAGGAGUCCGUGCUGAAGUCAGCCGCGAUCUUACGGGCGAGCAUCCCCAGAGUCCAGCGCCCACGGGAGGAAGACGUACACGGUGCCGGGAAAAGCAGCGGGCACCUUCAGAAGCUGGACAGCACCGGGGCCGCAGAGUACCAGAGGUCGGUUCCUGGGCUCUUCCCAAGACGCCAGGCCCAUGUCCACAAUUCCAGACUCCAUUCAACCGAGGCCAAGAGGCCCACCUGCAAGGAGCAGGCCGAGGACAGACGAACACAGCGACCCUAACACAGGAGAGGAGCAGACGGAUCACUUCCUAGGAAGGGGGAGCCCGCUGAAGACCCUCCUCACCUUGGACACACAUUCUGACGACAGCCUGGAGGAUGCCUGAACGUGAGUAUAGUCUCCUCGGUUUGUCUCCCCUUCAUUCUUGGGAAUACACAGACACCUGAGCAGGAUGCUGACCUGAAGGGCCACCUCCUUUCCCCACCUCCCACCCUGU
rnacentral:lncRNA from 1 species